CUACGGGGCGCAGCAGUGGGGAAUAUUGCACAAUGGGCGGAAGCCUGAUGCAGCCAUACCGCGUGUGUGAAGAAGGCCUUAGGGUUGUAAAGCACUUUCAGUCGUGAGGAAAGGGGUGUAGUUAAUACCUGCAUCCUGUGACGUUAGCGACAGAAGAGGCACCGGCUAAUUCCGUGCCAGCAGCCGCGGUAAUACGGAAGGUGCGAGCGUUAAUCGGAAUUACUGGGCGUAAAGCGCGCGUAGGUGGUUCAGUCAGUCAGAUGUGAAAGCCCCGGGCUCAACCUGGGAACUGCACCUGAUACUGCUGGACUUGAGUACGGUAGAGGGUAGUGGAAUUUCCUGUGUAGCGGUGAAAUGCGUAGAUAUAGGAAGGAACACCAGUGGCGAAGGCGACUACCUGGACCGAUACUGACACUGAGGUGCGAAAGCGUGGGGAGCAAACAGGAUUAGAUACCCGUGUAGUC
rnacentral:rRNA from 1 species